rnacentral:lncRNA from 1 species
AGAUGAACCAGGGCCAACGGAGGAAGGCUGCCUGCUGACAGCUGCCAUUUCCACAGACUCACUGGGCCAAAGUGAUAGCCAACACUGAGAAGAAGAAUCCAGUGUCCAGAUUUUUCAAAGGGCUGCAGAAGUCUUGUUCUGCUGGAUAUAUAUUUUUAAGUUAGAGCUUGUUGAACAACAGAAGAUUAUAGGACCAGCCAGAGACUCAAGGAGAGCCAAUGGGGGUAUUAUGUUUUUGGAUUUAGCUAACCACUGACUGGAGGAACUGAGACAGCAUACAGUGGCAAAGCCUUUGACAAAUGCUGUUCUAAGAAGGACACAUCUUCUGGAAUAUUCUGUCCAAAAUUCAUAACCCGAGUUUGAUCAUGAAGAAAGAUCUCCCAACCCACGCUACAAAAUAACCGGGACAAGGGAAGAUGGUGAUGGCAACUUAUGUUUACCAUGCAGAUGAAACAGAUCAACACUUUGCCCCAGAGAGCACAUGCUCAUACCACUUUAAGGACGAAUACCCUGAGAAGUGGUUAUGUGUGGAGGUAUCCAAAGGCAAGGCCUUAUUAUUGACUGGAGAACCCAGAUCACAAUUCAAAACAAUUCCAGAACAAUUAAAAUUCACAGAGAAAAAUUGCACAUGCAUAGAGGAAAUGAGAAGAUUAUGAUGGCACAUUAGUAACCAUGGACUAUGGCUUAAAUGAGUGGUCCUUAAACAUUGCUUGCUAGUUUCUCCAUGAACAAGAUUUUAGGAAAAACUUCUGCAUCUUUAAGUUGAUAUCUAAAAUUUGAUCUUCAGUUUAUAACGAAUUGCAAAAGGUAUAAUUUCUGGCAAAUUAAAAACAGUGGCGCUUUUAAAAUUAAUCUGUCAAAUUACUCCGUAAAAUCUAUCCAAAGUAAUCCAAACACAACAGCAAGUUGAGGAUCACAGUCAGUCAUUUAAUAAAGAAUGAUUACAUUUUCCAAUUGAAAAUUGCACAUCAUUCUUUACUCCCUCUAAACUCAUAUUUCCAAGUCCAAUUCCAAUUUUAAUUUCCAUAAACUUCCACAGAAUUUUAUCCUAAAAAAAGACAUUUUGUGCAUGAGCGCCUUUAAUGAUCUCUGAAUCAUACUUCAGUGCAACAAAAAUAUGUGUGUAAAUUGAAAGGUAAAUUGUUUUUAAACAUCUAGUAACCAUAAUGCUUUAAGUAUUAAAUUUGUUUUCUGUAUUGUUAUAAUUAUAAAUAUUAUAGGGCUCAAUUUUUUUUUUUAAAAAAGUAAAAUAAUUACUUACACAAGAAGUAAAAUAUUAUUGGUAAUAAUCUCUAAAUUAUAUGAAUGGGGCUGGGGCUUUUCUCUCCUAUACUUCAUACAUCCAAUGAUGAAAACUACACGUUAUCAUUACUAUAAGUUUCAUUAUAUUGAUAAGACAUGGUCAGUACUAAUUCUAUUCCUAGUUUUUGUUUUCUAUACAUUUGAGCUCAAGAAAAAUUUGUUUAUCUAAAUAAAGGAAUUGGAAUGGAAA